GUUAAUACAUUUUUUAGUAUUACUGCAUUCCUUAACCUCGCCCUUAAUAUGAAAGCCAUUUCUAUUUUCUAGACACGCACCUCGCAAGGAAGCUUUAUUGACUAUAUACUAAAACAAAUUGUUUUGAGUUCAGUUCACAUUAACAAGAGCAACAGUUUAAUAACUAUUAUUUUUAAACUACAGUUUAAUAACUAUUAACAUCAUUCAGAGCAACAGUUUAAUAACUAUUAUUUUUAACACUUGAAUAAUGCAAACUUAUAUAUGGCGAACGGAAACUGCAAACUAUAUGCGUGUCAAUUUUCGACUCAUUCUAAACAUGCAGGAUACGCUGUUACAGCGAGUUAGUUUUUGGUGGCCAUGCAUGCAAAAGUGGGCCGCUUAUUUUGCUUACAAGUUACGUGGACGUAUAAUUAUUGCUGUUACAUAAACGUUCCGGUGUUCAAGAGCUGCAUAUAUAUAGCCGAUAAAAAUUGCGUGCUCAUUAUAAUCGCCGAUCACAUGGCUUUAUCACAGUCUCAAACCUUCAGACAAACAUAUCCACAUUCCUCUCCCCCCCUUCGGACAUCCUAAGACAUUUUUCCUCUCCCCCCCUUCGGACAUCCUAAGACAUUUUUCCUCCCUCCCCCUUCGGACAGCAAAAAUUUCCUCCGUGGGGGGGGGGGUAUGGAUCUUUUCUGGAACGACCCAAUU